UACGAAGGGGGCUAGCGUUGCUCGGAAUUACUGGGCGUAAAGCGUGCGCAGGCGGUUGUGCAAGACAGAUGUGAAAUCCCCGGGCUUAACCUGGGAAUUGCAUUUGUGACUGCACGGCUAGAGUGUGUCAGAGGGGGGUAGAAUUCCACGUGUAGCAGUGAAAUGCGUAGAUAUGUGGAGGAAUACCGAUGGCGAAGGCAGCCCCCUGGGAUAACACUGACGCUCAUGCACGAAAGCGUGGGGAGCAAACAGG
rnacentral:rRNA from 1 species